rnacentral:rRNA from 1 species
UGAUUAAUUAUUUUAAUUUGACUGUAAAGGUAAAUUUUAUUUAUUUAAUAAUUGAUUUAUAAGUUGUACCUUUUGUAUCAGGAUUUAUUAAAAAUGUUUUAUUAGUAAAUUUUCUUGAAAUAAAAAGAUUUAAUUUUAUAAAUAUAUUAAUGUAUAAUUAUUAAUUUUAAUAUAAUUUUGGUUUUGAAAUAAAUAUAGAUUUUUUAUAUCUAGUUGCUUUUUUUUUAAUUUAAUUAAUUUUUUUUUAGUGAUGUUUUUGUUAAAAUAAAUUAUAUUUAUAGGGAUAAGCUUAUAAAUUUUAUAAUAGUUUUGUUUUUAUUUAUUAAUUUAUUUAUUUAGAGAUAAUAAUUCAUUUAAUUUGUUAAAAUUAACUAAUAUAGUAUUAAUAAUUUAGUAUAUAACUUUAUUGAGGGAUAAAGUUGUUUUAUUGAAUAUUAAAAUGUUAUUAAUUAUGAUAAAAUUAGUAGAUAAAUAAAUUUAAAUUAAGAACUUGGCAAUUUGAAUUUUCAAUUGUUUAUCAAAAACAUUUCUGUAAGAAAAAUAUUUUUGGUUUAACCUGCUCCAUGCUUGUGUUAAUAGCUGCAGUAUUUUGACUGUACAAAGGUAGCAUAAUCAUUAGUCUUUUAAUUGGAGGCUUGUAUGAAUGGUUGAAUGAAAAAUUAACUUUUUUAUUUAAAUGAUUAUUUAAUUUAAUUUUAAAGUUAAAAAGCUUUAGUAGUUAAAAGGGACGAGAAGACCCUAUAGAAUUUGAAAAAUUUCUUGAGAAUUUAUUUUUAAUUGGGGUGAUUGGAAACUAACUUUUCUUUUUUUGUUCAUAUUUGUGUGACUAAAAGAUCUUAAAUUUUUGAUAAAAAGUUUAAAUUACCUUAGGGAUAACAGCAUAAUUUUUUUUUUAAGUUCAUAUUUAUAGAAAAGUUUAUGACCUCGAUGUUGAAUUAAAAUUAUAUUUAAAUGUAGUUAUUUAAGUAUUUAGUCUGUUCGACUAUAAUUUUUUACAUGAUUUGAGUUCAGACCGGUGUGAGCCAGGUUGGUUUCUAUCUUUUUAUUUAUGUUUUGACUUAGUACGAAAGGAUUAGUUAAUUAAAUUUAUAUUUUACGAUAUAAUUAAUUU